AGCUUUGCACAGUGGCAGUAUCAUAGCCAAUGAGGUUUAUCUGAGGCACGAUUAUUGCUAAUUGAAAACAAUUACAUUUUAGUGUGAGAAAAAUCAUUAUCUUUGACAAAAAAGAAAAAUUUCUGAUUUUGCAAUCAAC
ensembl:snRNA U4 U4 spliceosomal RNA